UGAAGCUUGUCCUGCAGUGAGGCAAGUCACAUGCUAGGCAUGAUGAGUUCAUAAUCAUGUAGCUCACUGGGAGCUACAAGUGGGCCCACCCUCCUGGAGUGAAAGGUGGGAGUGGGCGGUGGUGGGAGAGGUGGCCAGAGCAACAUCACAAAGACCUGUGUGCUAAACCAAGGAGUGAGGACCUUCUGCAAGCUAGGGGCAGCCACUGGAGGACUCGAGGCAGGACAGAGGCCUGGAGAGAGCUGCAGAGCCCUGUGGAGCUGCGGGAUGGGAACUGGGAGGCAUAAGAACAAUGAGGAGGGCAUCGCAGGACCAAGGUUGGUCAUAGCUUUUCUUCCAAGGAGCAAGCGUCUUUUAAAGCUCAUAAUGCAGAACAAAUCUUGAGUACACUGAAUCCAGAGCUCACAGUAGAUCUGACUCCCUCCACACAAAAAGCAACCCCAAAUAUCACUUGAAUCCCAGUUUUCAGAUCUGUUAAAUGAAGUUAAGAAUGUAUCUGUGGAGUUUGGGGAAAGGACCAUGAUAACCUGGGGCAAGGAACAGAGAUCUCAGAAGGCUUUCCAAGAGAACAGAAGUUCUGUGUUCCCUGGAGAAAGAUGGGAAACACUAUUGGAAAACUGAGAAUAGUGAAAGUGAAUGUAAUGUAUUAAUACAAAUUCUUAAAUGGGUAUGAAUUCUCCUUUCAAAUACUCCAUUACAAUCCAAGACUUCAUAAUUUCUACCCCCAAAAUUGGAUGCCUCCAAUGAGAACCAGUGGUUCUAAAACCACAGGGGUGCUCAAACUUGGCUGCAUGUUGAGAUCACCUGGGC